ensembl:rRNA 5S_rRNA 5S ribosomal RNA
GCUUACGGCCAUACCACUCUGACAAAACCUGAUCUCAUCUGACCUCGGAAGCAAAGCAGAGUUGGGCCUAGUUAGUAUUUGGUUGGGAGACUGAAUGGGAAUACUAGGUGCUGUAAGCU